AAUAAUAUUAUAUUAGGAAAUGGACUCUUGGGAGGAUCAAGUUUGAAGAUUCAUAUUAGAUGAGGAAGAAGAGGACGACGAACUAUUUCUAGAUGAUGGGAUUUUGGUCAUUCCAACUGCUUUGGGAUGCUAAGGAACUCUCAUCUGAAAGAUACAAUUCUCAGACAUUGUGCCUUUCAUCUUUAGCGAGUAUGUCAGGGUGUUGCCAGGCAAGGAAGAAUGCUGCUAUAUUCGACAAGUAACAAGGAUGAAUGAUGAAUCAGAAAUCUCAACUCUUCCAUUUUUUGGAUGCAUUCUCCUGAAGGAAUCUAUUUUGAUGCCAGUUUCAUACGCUGCUGAAAGCACUAUGUGGACGUAGUGCUUGAACGAUAUUGUGUCCUAGUUACGCGCAUCUCUAUUGGAUGAUGACAGGAAUAGAUUGGCGCUAGUCUACUCUAUGAUAUCAACUUGCUCCUGAAGCCUGAAUUCAUGAUGCAAUAAAUUUAUUCUGAUUUUCUCAAGCAUUUUCUUGAAA